GAUGAACGCUGGCGGCGUGCCUAAUACAUGCAAGUCGAGCGAAGGGUAUAGCAAUGUAUCCUUAGCGGCGAACGGGUGAGUAACGCGUUGGUGACCUGCCUCGAAGAUUGGGAUAACAGUUCGAAAGGACUGCUAAUACCGGAUACGAUCGUUAGGAUUAGAAGCCUGAUGAUGAAAGGUGAAAAUCACUUCGAGAGGGGCCUGCGUCCCAUCAGCUAGUUGGUAGGGUAAAGGCCUACCAAGGCGAUGACGGGUAGGGACCUGAGAGGGUGCCCCCCA
rnacentral:rRNA from 1 species